rnacentral:rRNA from 1 species
UACGUAGGGACCGAGCGUUGUCCGGAUUCAUUGGGCGUAAAGAGCUCGUAGGCGGCUGCUCAAGUCGAAUGUGAAAACUCGAGGCUCAACCUCGAGCCUGCAUUCGAUACUGGGCGGCUAGAGUCUGGUAGGGGGAUCUGGAAUUCCUGGUGUAGCGGUGGAAUGCGCAGAUAUCAGGAAGAACACCGGUGGCGAAGGCGGCUCUCUGGGCCUUACCUGACGCUGAGGAGCGAAAGCGUGGGUAGCGAACAGG